AAAGUCGUAACAAGGUUUCCGUAGGUGAACCUGCGGAAGGAUCAUUAUCAAUCCAAACUAAAAACCACUGUGAACUGGCUGAAGUACUUGGGCAAGUUCAUUUGGGGAGCAUUUUCUUUGUGAGUGUGUGUGCUUGUCACAAGACUCUGAAGAUUAUAGCUCUUCUUACCCUUGCCCAACAGUAUUAACCACAAUUAAAUUGUUAUGUUGAACUGCUGAUUUGUUGCUCUUGCGACUUAUCUGCUACAAAUAAAACCAAAGAUUACAACUUUUAGCGGUGGAUCUCUUGGCUCAU
rnacentral:misc_RNA from 1 species